CCUACGGGUGGCAGCAGUGGGGAAUAUUGGUCAAUGGACGGAAGUCUGAACCAGCCAUGCCGCGUGCGGGAAGAAGGCUCUAUGAGUUGUAAGCUGCUUUUGUACAAGGGUAAACCUGAAUACGUGUAUUCAGCUGAAAGUACUGUACGAGUAAGGAUCGGCUAGCUCCGUGCCAGCAGCCGCGGUAAUACGGAGGAUGCGAGCGUUAUCCGGAUUUGUUGGGGUAAAGGGGUGCGUAGGGGGAUUGUUAAGUCAGCGGUAAAAGCCCGGGGCUCAGCCCCGGCGAGCAGUUGAAACUGGGUGUCUUGAGAGGUCGAGAGGUAUGCGGAAUGCGAAGUGUAGCGGUGAAAUGCUUAGAUAUAGCGCAGAACUCCGAUUGCGAAGGCAGCACACUGGUGGGGAUCUGACGCUGAGGCACGAAAGCGUGGGUAUCGAACAGGAUUAGAUACCCUUGUAGUC
rnacentral:rRNA from 1 species